rnacentral:rRNA from 1 species
GGCUCAGAUUGAACGCUGGCGGCAUGCCUUACACAUGCAAGUCGAACGGCAGCGGGCCUUCGGGUGCCGGCGAGUGGCGAACGGGUGAGUAAUGCAUCGGAACGUGCCAUUGAGUGGGGAUAACGUAGCGAAAGUUGCGCUAAUACCGCAUAUUCUGUGAGCAGGAAAGCAGGGGACCGCAAGGCCUUGCGCUCUUUGAGCGGCCGAUGUCAGAUUAGCUAGUUGGUGAGGUAAAGGCUUACCAAGGCGACGAUCUGUAGCGGGUCUGAGAGGAUGAUCCGCCACACUGGAACUGAGACACGGUCCAGACUCCUACGGGAGGCAGCAGUGGGGAAUUUUGGACAAUGGGGGCAACCCUGAUCCAGCCAUGCCGCGUGAGUGAAGAAGGCCUUCGGGUUGUAAAGCUCUUUCGGCCGGGAAGAAAUCGCAUGGGUGAAUACCCUGUGUGGAUGACGGUACCGGAACAAGAAGCACCGGCUAACUACGUGC